GGUUUUUCGAGACAGGGUUUCUCUGCGUAUCUUUGGUGCCUGUCCUGGAACUCACUCUGUAGACCAGGCUGGCCUCGAACUCACAGAGAUCCUCCUGCCUCUGCCUCCCAAAUGCUGGGAUUAAAGGUGUGCGCCACCACCGCCCAGCAUUUUUUUUUAGACUUUUUUUUUUUUAAAGAUUUAUUUAUUUAUUAUGUAUACAGUGUUCUGUCUGCAUGUAUGACUGCAGGCCGGAAGAGGGCACCAGAUCUCAUUACAGAUGGUUGUGAGCCACCAUGUGGUUGCUGGGAAUUGAACUCAGGACCUCUGGAAGAACAGUCAUUGCUCUUAACCUCUGAGCCAUCUCUCCAGCCCCUCCAUUGCACUUUUGACUUUAUUGUCUGGUGUGGUCCCAGGAGGCAAGUGGGACCCAGGACCUGACAACGAAACCACACACAUUCAUCAUCAACUGUGAACAGGAUGGGCGGCGUGGAGCUCAGUUAUAGAGCACCUGCUGAGCCUGCGUGAGGCUCUGUGUUCCAUCCCCAGCACUGCAGAGAAAAGAACAAAAUGAUAAAAAUGCAGGAAAUGUCUCAGUUUCGUUUCAGAGGACUGAGGCAUUCCAUUCUCUCCCUGGGUCCUGUGACCACCCUUUUCUCCGGACAAAGGCAAAUAGCGCUGUCAACUAACAGGUGACGUGAGAGAACUGCAUAAUGUUGGUGGGGUUCCUGGUCCAGAAAGCAGAACAGUCCAUCCUGGUAUGGAUGAGACCCUUCCUCAAAGAAGUGGGAGGUGUUGCCUGAUGGAGACAGGAGGAGAGACAGAAGGCUGGUUAACAAUGUGGAUUUGGGAGCAGAAUUCUGUAUUCUGAUCAUAUCUCUAGCAUGCCAUUAAUCCCAGCAUUCAGGAGGCAGGGGCAGGCAAAUCUCUGAGCUUGAGGUUAGUCUGGUCUACAGAGUGAGUUCCGGGACAGCCAGCACUACACAGAGAAGCCCUGGGGGACAGACACGACAAAUCCUGGCUGUGACUCCGGGGAGAGGGUGUGUGAAAGCAUCUGACAUGGAGCGCCUAGCAUCUCCCGAUGAAGGAAAGGUGAAGAGCAAAGCCGCCACAGCUGAUUCCAGAAGAUUCCAGAGGAACUAACAGGGCGAGCAGUUGUCACCAAUAGCUCAACCCAUGGGGCACGCGGGGUGGAAGCAGUUCUUGAAGCCCUGACGGUGGGUCUGCCCCUGAGUGGUUGAGAGACGUGGGCCCCAGCAGGCCUUGAAGAGGAGGCUGAGAGCUAACAGGAAGAGACUGACUGCCAGCAGGCCAUGUUCCAGACUAGAUCUCCUGUUGCCUCAAGGCCUCACCCACAGGGAAGGGGGGCAGGCGAUGGAGUGAAAUGGAGAGUGUGGUUCAAACCCAAGUCACUGAACAUACUACAAUGAUGGACGUCUCCCUGUGUGCACAGAAAGGGUAAGUGUCUUGCUCAGGCUCACACAGCCUGAAACAGCAGAUCCUGUGUCCAAGAUGCCCAGGCCCAUGUAGUCAUAGCUAGACAGACGCUUUCUAGAAGUACUAGCUUCCUCCCAGCACAGACCCCAGCCUUGUAUGUCUUCAUGAAAUGACGAUAUGGCUUUGCCCUUCCCAGCAGUAUUGUGUAAACAAAGGGAUGUAUUUGCAUAGGCUAGACUAUAUAACAUUGGUUCUCAACAUGUGGGUCACGACCCCCACAGGGCCACAUAUUAGAUAUUUCCAUUAUGAUUCAUAACAGUAGCAAAAUUGCAGCUAUAAAGUAGCAACAAAAUAAUUUUAUGGUUGGGGUCACCACAACAUGAGGGGCUGUUUAAAGGGUCGCAGCAUGAGGAAGGUUGAGAACAGUGCUCUAGAGCAUGGUGAGUCGUAGACACUGUCAUCACUACUGUUUGUACCUUUACUAGGAAGGUGGAAGGAUGAUUCAGCCCCGUUACUGCACAGAGGAAGAAACUGAGGCAUGACGGGGUAUGUAGAUCAUGGCUGGUAAUCAGAAAAGAAACUCCCGAAAUCCUCCUGGGUAUGAAGCCUGUCAUCUCCAGCCUCCUGGCCUGGCUGCUGAUGACCCAUUCCUUCCCAGGAGGGUAGCUGGGAAGAAGCCCUGACGUUACCAACCCUGCUGUGUUCUCCCAGUUGUAGAAGGUGGACCACAGGUAGCCACAGCGUCCAGAGUUCUCACCGGCACAGCUGACAGUCUCGGAGACCCCAGGCAAUUCAGCUCCCACCCCCACUCUUCCGGGGGAUUAAGCGUCCUCACGGUGGUUGUUUUUUUAUUUUGUUUUGCGCCCUACAGGACAGACUGCCUUCCCAGUCAUGACUUUAGAGCCCCCUAGUGGCCAGCACGGGGUAGAGCUAGAGCGUGCCUACCCUGGGGCUCCCGCUCAGCUCUGCCGGGAGCUCCAUGUGCCUCUGGGCCCCUGGAAGCAGCUGCUCAAGCAGGACUCCCAGAACCAGACCCACUCUAGGAGCUAUGGACCCAAACUGGUGGGGUGAACUGGCUAGCACACACCCGCAAAGUCCUCUCUCCUUUUGUUCCCAGGACACACCCAUUCCAGGUGCCCCACUUAUCAAAGCCUCUAUAAUGGGGGAACAUCUGACAUUUUAGUGAGAGAAAAUGGGGUCUCCCUGUUUAGGUCAGGUUGGCCUCAACAUCCUCCCUCCUGACUCAGCCUCCCCAUUAACUGGAGCUGCAUAUGUAUGUACCACACCCAACUAGGAUUAUAGGCUUUUAAAAUUCAUUUACUCUAGUAUUAGAUUAAAAUAAAGCUUCUUAAUCUAAUAAACGUUUAUCUAAUAGACUUUUAUCAAAGUUUAUUUUAAACUGGGUGGUGGUGGCGCAUGCCUUUAACAUGCCUCUCGGGAGGCAGAGGCAGGUGGAUUUCUGUGAGUCUGAGGCCAGCCUAGUCUAAAGAGCAAGAUCCAGGACAGCCAGGACUGCACAGAGAAACCCUGUCUCAAAAGAGAAAAUAAUAAUAAUAAUAAUAAAAACUUUCUUAUAAUCUAGGAUUAUACGCUUUUAAAGUUUAUUUAAAAGAGAAGGUCCUCUGUAGUCCAGGCUGGCCUUGAGCACACUGUGUAGCCAAAGAUGACCUUGACAUCCACACCCUCCUAUCUCCUAAAUGCCAGGAUAAUAGGUGUGUGCUACCAUAUCAUCUCCAUUUCAUUUUGUUUGGACCAGGGUUCAGCAGGUAACUAUAACUUUUUUUUUUUUUGUAGUUGGCAUCUGCUUGGGCAGCAUCCCUCCUCCAGACACUUAGCAACAGGGAGCUGGGGCGCCUGGGACUCAGCAGACCCUUUAAGAGGCUGGGCAGUGGUGGCACACACCUUUAGUCCCUGUAGAGCCAGGCGGGUCUCUGUGAGUUCAAGGCCAUACUGGUCUACAAAGCAAGAUCCAGGACAGGCACCAAAACUACACAGAGAAACCCUGUCUUGAAAAACAAAACAAAACAAAACAAAAAGCCUUACUGCUUACGACUUGGGGCCCAGAACUCUAGGUGCCUGCUUCUUCUGACCCAGUGCAGCCACACUGAUUGGAUCAGGGUUCCGAAUCAGGAGGCAGAAUCCUGAGGUCACAGAAUAAAGGCUUGCCCCCUGGUGUCUGAACUCAAAGAUUGUGAGGAGCUGCAUACAUACUUUCUGGAAGGCUGUCACCCUUUAGUCUGAUGUGAGAGCUUUAAGUCCACAGGAAAGACAAGAGAAGAGGAAUUCAAAAUGGGAAAUAGCAAGAAUAUGCUGGAACCCACAGAAAGCAGCAAGAGCCUAGGUGAGUGGCAGAACCCCAGGCUGGUCCUUGCAGACCUGGGUGGGACGUGGAGGUGUCUUAAAGGAGCAGGAUUCCUUCCCAGAAAGCUACACGCACGCUCAUGGCCUGGGAGUUGUGGAGCCCAGGCCAUGCAGCUUCUCACCAACAAAAGGAGCUAGUCAGAGGUGCCAGAGUCACACACCGAGUGCUGGUUUCACCUCUGCUCUCCAAUCCUGCACAUGCAUCUUUCCUAUGUCCCACCCAAGAAAGGGGACGUAAGGAAUGUCAGUCCAGCCAAAACGGUAUGUUAAAAAUCUACCGGGAAAGCCACGUGUGGUGGUCACACCUGUAACCUUAGCCCUAGGUGGGGCAAAGACAGGCUAAUCUCAAUGAAGUCAAAAACAAUCUGGUCUAGGUAGCAAGUUCCAGGCAAGCCAGGGUUAUAUUGUGAAACCCUUGUCUCAAAAAACUAAAAGCAAACAAGCAUGCCGGUGGCCUGACCAUGUCAGAGGAGCAGCAGGUGGCAACUGACUGCAGGGUGUCUGUCAGCCCACCAGGAGGAAAAUCCCUGAUGGUGAAUCUCGGAUAGGCAAGGCCCUGAGACCACAGACCACAGAGUGUCUUUUGCUUCUGCUGUGCCUUUACGUAUUUGCCCCUGCCAUUUUCCUCUGGUGUCUGGCAUGGUGUGAAUGGGUGUGGGGAGAUCCCCACUGCCUGUAAUGUAGUGUGAUUAUCCCGUGGAAACAUCCCAUUCUACUGGGCAUUUUUACCUGUGGAUUAUUAUGAAGAUGUUUCCUUCCUAAGCUGUAUUGUUUAAUUGAUAAUAACCAUGCUAGUUUACACAGAGUUUUGAUGAAUAAAAAUAAAUACAAGGAAAUGUCACACAGUUCAGGUUAAUGAUUAAGGAAAACAAUUGAGUCCCCAGAGCCAGGCUGGCUCUGAUUUUCUCAAUGCUGAACAACAAUGCAGUCACAGGUUUUGAUGUUCAUCAUUAGCUGAAACAAAGCCUUAAAAUAACCUCAGGUUAGACCAGAUGUUUGGAUAAUAGCUUUGAGAUGAAAAACCCCAGAAAACAAUCUAAAGUUCACAAGGAUACAUCACUGAGUCGUAGAUUCAUUAGGUUAGGGUCAAAAAUACAAAGCAGCCCAAUUGUUGCUACUAGGUUUGGUUGGUGAUCAAAGGUGAUGAUUAAUUCCUUGUGCCCACUUUUGCCUCAGUCUCUUAAUGCAAGAAACUGUUGAUGAGUGGGUGUGCACCCCAAAGAUUUAAAAUAGAGCUGACUGAUUCUUUUUCAUAUAUAAAAGUUUAGGUUUGUGAUUCCUUUAAGAGUCCUUAUAAGACUACCUUUCAAGAUAAGACCCUUUCUUUCUAACUGCAAAAUGUAGCCUGCUGGUGAAAGUCCUGAUUGAGAAAAAUACUUUGCUUGCCUACACAGUUAAUCUCUAACAAGUUGCCUGGGUAUGAAUGUAUGUGGGUUUUUAGGACAAUUUGUUUUUCACCUGUAAUACAUAAAAUGUUUAAUCAUGUAAAGGAGAUGAAAAACAUGUUUUUACCUGUAUUCAUUAUAAUCAUUCGCUUGAAAAAUAGAAUGUAACCACAUUGUAAUUCCUAUAUUGCCUGAAAAACUUUGUUGGGGUAUAUAAGCUGUAGAAAAAAAAAUAUACAGUAGAAAGAUCACAGAAGAAUAGAGAAUAAAGAAGGAAAUCAUCAAGA